UGGUGUGAACAGGUUACUUGUGGUGCAGUGUGGUAGUGGAAAAAGCUGCAUUACGUGUGACCUGCCCACACCAU
rnacentral:pre_miRNA from 1 species